CUACCAUAUAUGGAGAGUCAGACCUGCCCAGUGAUCUAUUCAACGGCCGCGGUACUCUGACCGUGCAAAGGUAGCAUAAUCAUUUGCCUUAUAAUUGAAGGCUUGUAUGAAUGGUUUGACAGAAGCAAGACUGUCUCCCAAAGGUUAAAUUGAACUUAAACUCCGGGUGAAGAUGCCCGGAUUCACCUGAAAGACAAGAAGACCCUAUCGAGCUUUAAAUAGCUGAGCCUAGUCUUAGGGCUACAUUAUAGACCCUUUUAUGCUCUUAAUUUUAGUUGGGGCGACUAAGGAACAUACAGAGCUUCUUACCUAAUUUUAGCUCUACUACCUAUGAUCCAGACAUUCUGAUUAAAGGAAUGAGUUACCGUAGGGAUAACAGCAUAAUCUUCCUUAAGAGCCCGCAUCGAAAGGAAGGUUUGUGACCUCGAUGUUGGACUAGGGCACCCUGACAGAUGCAGACGUCUUCGAAGGUUGGUCUGUUCGACCA
rnacentral:rRNA from 1 species